UACAGAGGUCUCAACCGUUGUUCGGAUUCAUUGGGCGUAAAGGGUGCGUAGGCGGUCGCGCAAGUCGGAUGUGAAAUCUUAGGGCUCAACCCUGAAGCUGCAUUCGAUACUGCGUGGCUAGAGUACUGGAGAGGAGACUGGAAUUUACGGUGUAGCAGUGAAAUGCGUAGAGACCGGGAAGAACACCAGUGGCGAAGGCGGCUACCUGGACAGGUACUGACGCUGAAGCGCGAAAGCUAGGGGAGCAAACAGG
rnacentral:rRNA from 1 species